rnacentral:rRNA from 1 species
UACGUAGGGGGCAAGCGUUGUCCGGAUUUAUUGGGCGUAAAGCGCUCGCAGGUGGUCCGUUGCGUCGUGCGUGAAAGACCCCGGCUCAACUGGGGAGUGUCGUGCGAUACGAGCAAACUAGAGUGUUGCAGGGGAGACUGGAAUUCCUGGUGUAGCGGUGAAAUGCGCAGAUAUCAGGAGGAACACCGGUGGCGAAGGCGGGGUCUCUGGGCAACAACUGACGCUGGAGGAGCGAAAGCGUGGGGAGCGAACAGG